GGGUCCAUAGCUCAACGGUCAGAGCAUCCGGCUCAUAACCGGCUGGUUGCAGGUUCGAAUCCUGCUGGACCCA
rnacentral:tRNA from 1 species